rnacentral:sRNA from 1 species
CGGCGCUCACGCCCAUGACGAUCCCCGAUGUGUUUCCGCACCUGCCGCUCAUCGCCAUCACCCGCAACCCGGUGUUCCCGCGCUUUAUCAAGAUUAUUGAGGUUAAAAAUAAGAAGUUGGUUGAGCUGCUAAGAAGGAAAGUUCGUCUCGCCCAGCCUUAUGUUGGCGUCUUUCUAAAGAGAGAUGACAGCAAUGAGUCGGAUGUGGUCGAGAGCCUGGAUGAAAUCUACCACACGGGGACGUUUGCCCAGAUCCAUGAGAUGCAGGACCUUGGGGACAAGCUGCGCAUGAUCGUCAUGGGACACAGGAGGCCCUGACCGCAGAGAUCGUGAAGACCAUCCGGGACAUCAUUGCCUUGAACCCUCUCUACAGGGAGUCAGUGCUGCAGAUGAUGCAGGCUGGCCAGCGGGUGGUGGACAACCCCAUCUACCUGAGCGACAUGGGCGCCGCGCUCACCGGGGCCGAGUCCCAUGAGCUGCAGGACGUCCUGGAAGAGACCAAUAUUCCUAAGCGGCUGUACAAGGCCCUCUCCCUGCUGAAGAAGGAAUUUGAACUGAGCAAGCUGCAGCAGCGCCUGGGGCGGGAGGUGGAGGAGAAGAUCAAGCAGACCCACCGUAAGUACCUGCUGCAGGAGCAGCUAAAGAUCAUCAAGAAGGAGCUGGGCCUGGAGAAGGACGACAAGGAUGCCAUCGAGGAGAAGUUCCGGGAGCGCCUGAAGGAGCUCGUGGUCCCCAAGCAUGUCAUGGAUGUUGUGGACGAGGAGCUGAGCAAGCUGGGCCUGCUGGACAACCACUCCUCGGAGUUCAAUGUCACCCGCAACUACCUAGACUGGCUCACGUCCAUCCCUUGGGGCAAGUACAGCAACGAGAACCUGGACCUGGCGCGGGCACAGGCAGUGCUGGAGGAAGACCACUACGGCAUGGAGGACGUCAAGAAACGCAUCCUGGAGUUCAUUGCCGUCAGCCAGCUCCGCGGCUCCACCCAGGGCAAGAUCCUCUGCUUCUAUGGCCCCCCUGGCGUGGGCAAGACCAGCAUUGCCCGCUCCAUUGCCCGCGCCCUGAACCGAGAGUACUUCCGCUUCAGCGUCGGGGGCAUGACUGACGUGGCUGAGAUCAAGGGCCACAGGCGGACCUACGUGGGCGCCAUGCCCGGGAAGAUCAUCCAGUGUCUGAAGAAGACCAAGACGGAGAACCCCCUGAUCCUCAUCGACGAGGUGCGUGCGGAGAGGCCCGGAGACCCCCUAACCCAGAGCCCCAGGCAACCCUGACCAGGCAAUGCUGUGUGCAAGAUGCAGCCGAGCCCUCCGGGUCCUAGGAUCCCCGAGCCAACUCAGGGGCCGUCGCUGUGACGCUGGCCCUGAUGGCACAGACGGGUCCCUCCCACCCACAGCCACGCACAGCAGGCUGCCCGUCCAAGGCAGGGUGUGGGUGCUGCUCUCACUCGGGGCCUCCCCAGCCCUGACCCCGGGGUCUCCCCACUGGGCGGGCUGGCCAGGGGCAUGGCGAGGGGCACCACCUGCUGUCUGCUGCCCCAGGUGGACAAGAUCGGCCGAGGCUACCAGGGGGACCCGUCGUCGGCGCUGCUGGAGCUGCUGGACCCAGAGCAGAAUGCCAACUUCCUGGACCACUACCUGGACGUGCCCGUGGACUUGUCCAAGGUGGGGGGCCUGUCCGGGGCCUGGGCUUGCUGGGGAGGGUAAGCGGCCAGUCCCCCAGCACCUUGCCGCCGCCCCCAGGUGCUGUUCAUCUGUACGGCCAACGUCACGGACACCAUCCCCGAGCCGCUGCGAGACCGCAUGGAGAUGAUCAACGUGUCGGGCUACGUGGCCCAGGAGAAGCUGGCCAUUGCAGAGCGCUACCUGGUGCCCCAGGCUCGCGCCCUGUGUGGCUUGGAUGAGAGCAAGGCCAAGCUGUCAUCGGACGUGCUGACGCUGCUCAUCAAGCAGUACUGCCGCGAGAGCGGUGUCCGCAACCUGCAGAAGCAAGUGGAGAAGGUGUUACGGAAAUCGGCCUACAAGAUUGUCAGUGGCGAGGCCGAGUCCGUGGAGGUGACGCCCGAGAACCUGCAGGACUUCGUGGGGAAGCCUGUGUUCACCGUGGAGCGCAUGUAUGACGUGACACCGCCCGGCGUGGUCAUGGGGCUGGCCUGGACCGCAAUGGGAGGCUCCACGCUGUUUGUGGAGACAUCCCUGAGACGGCCACAGGACAAGGACGCCAAGGGUGACAAGGAUGGCAGCCUGGAGGUGACAGGCCAGCUGGGGGACGUGAUGAAGGAGAGCGCCCGCAUAGCCUACACCUUCGCCAGAGCCUUCCUCAUGCAGCACGCCCCCGCCAAUGACUACCUGGUGACCUCACACAUCCACCUGCAUGUGCCCGAGGGCGCCACCCCCAAGGACGGCCCGAGCGCGGGCUGCACCAUCGUCACGGCCCUGCUGUCCCUGGCCAUGGGCAGGCCUGUCCGGCAGAAUCUGGCCAUGACUGGCGAAGUCUCCCUCACGGGCAAGAUCCUGCCUGUUGGUGGCAUCAAGGAGAAGACCAUUGCGGCCAAGCGCGCAGGGGUGACGUGCAUCGUCCUGCCAGCCGAGAACAAGAAGGACUUCUAUGACCUGGCAGCCUUCAUCACCGAGGGCCUGGAGGUGCACUUCGUGGAACACUACCGGGAGAUCUUUGACAUCGCCUUCCCGGACGAGCAGGCAGAGGCGCUGGCCGUGGAACGGUGACGGCCGCCCCGGGACUGCAGGCGGCGGAUGUCAGGCCCUGUCUGGGCCGGAACUGAGCGCUGUGGGGAGCGCGCCCGGACCUGGCAGCGGAGCCACCGAGCGAGCAGCUCGGUCCAGUGACCCAGAUCCCAGGGACCUCCAUCGGCUUAAUCAGAGUGUGGCAUAGAAGCUAUUUAAUGAUUAAAGUCAUUUGCAGUA